GUCCUUGGAGCGCAAUGGAUAGUGCGUUGGACUUCUAAUCCAAAGGUCGUGAGUUUGUAUCCCAUCUGGGAUG
rnacentral:tRNA from 1 species